AAGUAGUGAAGUAAAAAUAUACAAUUAGUUUCGACCUAAUUAUUGAGAAUAAAUCUCCUUACUUA
rnacentral:tRNA from 1 species